GACGAACGCUGGCGGCGUGCUUAACACAUGCAAGUCGAACGGAAAGGCCCUGCUUUUGUGGGGUGCUCGAGUGGCGAAGGGGUGAGUAACACGUGAGUAACCUGCCCUUGACUUUGGGAUAACUUCAGGAAACUGGGGCUAAUACCGGAUAGGAGCUCCUGCUGCAUGGUGGGGGUUGGAAAGUUUCGGCGGUUGGGGAUGGACUCGCGGCUUAUCAGCUUGUUGGUGGGGUAGUGGAUUACCAAGGCUUUGAAGGGUAGCCGGCCUGAGAGGGUGACCGGCCACAGUGGGACUGAGAUACGGCCCAUACGCCUACGGGAGGCAGGAGUGGGAAUAUUGCACAAUGGGCGGAAGCCUGAUGCAGCAACGCUGCGUGCGGGAUGACGGCCUUCGGGUUAUAAACCGCUUUCGCCUGUGACGAAGCGUGAGUGACGGUAAUGGGUAAAGAAGCACCGGCUAACUACGUG
rnacentral:rRNA from 1 species